CCUGGCUCAGGAUGAACGCUAGCUACAGGCUUAACACAUGCAAGUCGAGGGGCAGCAUGGUCUUAGCUUGCUAAGGCCGAUGGCGACCGGCGCACGGGUGAGUAACACGUAUCCAACCUGCCGUCUACUCUUGGACAGCCUUCUGAAAGGAAGAUUAAUACAAGAUGGCAUCAUGAGUCCGCAUGUUCACAUGAUUAAAGGUAUUCCGGUAGACGAUGGGGAUGCGUUCCAUUAGAUAGUAGGCGGGGUAACGGCCCACCUAGUCUUCGAUGGAUAGGGGUUCUGAGAGGAAGGUCCCCCACAUUGGAACUGAGACACGGUCCAAACUCCUACGGGAGGCAGCAGUGAGGAAUAUUGGUCAAUGGGCGAGAGCCUGGACCAGCCAAGUAGCGUGAAGGAUGACUGCCCUAUGGGUUGUAAACUUCUUUUAUAAAGGAAUAAAGUCGGGUAUGGAUACCCGUUUGCAUGUACUUUAUGAAUAAGGAUCGGCUAACUCCGUGCCAGCAGCCGCGGUAAUACGGAGGAUCCGAGCGUUAUCCGGAUUUAUUGGGUUUAAAGGGAGCGUAGAUGGAUGUUUAAGUCAGUUGUGAAAGUUUGCGGCUCAACCGUAAAAUUGCAGUUGAUACUGGAUAUCUUGAGUGCAGUUGAGGCAGGUGGAAUUCGUGGUGUAGCGGUGAAAUGCUUAGAUAUCACGAAGAACUCCGAUUGCGAAGGCAGCCUGCUAAGCUGCAACUGACAUUGAGGCUCGAAAGUGUGGGUAUCAAACAGGAUUAGAUACCCUGGUAGUCCACACGGUAAACGAUGAAUACUCGCUGUUUGCGAUAUACUGCAAGCGGCCAAGCGAAAGCGUUAAGUAUUCCACCUGGGGAGUACGCCGGCAACGGUGAAACUCAAAGGAGUUGACGGGGGCCCGCACAAGCGGAGGAACAUGUGGUUUAAUUCGAUGAUACGCGAGGAACCUUACCCGGGCUUAAAUUGCAGAUGAAUUACGGUGAAAGCCGUAAGCCGCAAGGCAUCUGUGAAGGUGCUGCAUGGUUGUCGUCAGCUCGUGCCGUGAGGUGUCGGCUUAAGUGCCAUAACGAGCGCAACCCUUGUUGUCAGUUACUAACAGGUUCCGCUGAGGACUCUGACAAGACUGCCAUCGUAAGAUGUGAGGAAGGUGGGGAUGACGUCAAAUCAGCACGGCCCUUACGUCCGGGGCUACACACGUGUUACAAUGGGGGGUACAGAGGGCCGCUACCACGCGAGUGGAUGCCAAUCCCCAAAACCUCUCUCAGUUCGGACUGGAGUCUGCAACCCGACUCCACGAAGCUGGAUUCGCUAGUAAUCGCGCAUCAGCCACGGCGCGGUGAAUACGUUCCCGGGCCUUGUACACAC
rnacentral:rRNA from 1 species